UACGGGGGGGGGAAGCGUUGUUCGGAAUUACUGGGCGUAAAGGGCUCGUAGGCGGCCAACUAAGUCGGACGUGAAAUCCCUCAGCUUAACUGGGGAACUGCGUCCGAUACUGGAUGGCUUGAGUUUGGGAGAGGGACGCGGAAUUCCAGGUGUAGCGGUGAAAUGCGUAGAUAUCUGGAGGAACACCGGUGGCGAAGGCGGCGUCCUGGACCAACACUGACACUGAUGAGCGAAAGCCAGGGGAGCGAACGGG
rnacentral:rRNA from 1 species